UACGGGGGGGGCAAGCGUUGUUCGGAAUUACUGGGCGUAAAGGGCUCGUAGGUGGCCAACUAAGUCAGACGUGAAAUCCCUCGGCUUAACCGGGGAACUGCGUCUGAUACUGGAUGGCUGGAGUUUGGGAGAGGAUGCGGAAUUCCAGGUGUAGCGGUGAAAUGCGUAGAUAUCUGGAGGAACACCGGUGGCGAAGGCGGCAUCCUGGACCAACACUGACGCUGAGGAGCGAAAGCCAGGGGAGCAAACGGG
rnacentral:rRNA from 1 species